rnacentral:tRNA from 1 species
GGUUAUAUACUUUAACACAAGAAGAUCUAGUUUGCAAUUAGGAAGUAAAAUAUUUUUUUUGUAACCA